UCAUGAACUUGAGAGCUUAGACAGGAACCUUGACCUUUAGGCAAUGAUGUCUCCUCUGAGAAAUACCAAUAAACACCACUUAAUUUAAACUCAAGCCCAACCUAGAAGCCAUCAAAUCAUGCCUCACACACCUGAAUUUCAAGGACUUCCCACUAAGUCUCUCUGAAUGCCUAAUUAAUCUAUCUUUCAUUCCCUUCAUCUGGAGACCUAUUCUGAAAUCAUGGGAAAAAUCCCCAUCAGCUGAAGGCCGAUUCCCAAGAAAAAAUGAUCUUUUACUGGUUUCCCUUUCCCUUGUUACUAUGGAACAAACAUUGGAAUCCAAAACAUCCUCUGUCUGAUCUUCAACUGCCUGCAAUUCUCUCUGAUCUAAGAACUGCACUUCUCCCUGAUCACACACAGACUCCUCAGUUUGCUCAGUUUGAAACCCAUCAUCCCCCUUGUCCUCUGACAAAUCCCUUGCCUCUUACUGAGCCCUGACAUAAACCACAUUACCCGCUUUGAACUGGAUUAUCUGAGUCUACACUACCAUAUAAUCCAAUUCAAAGCAGAUAACCUGGAUUUUAUACAGCUGUGUAGAAGGGGCCUGAGACUGCCUCUGAAAACUCCCACCCCACAAACUUUUACUGGAGAUAAAUGUCUGGCACGGAGUCAAACUGCAAUGCCUUUUGGCCCUAAUUGCAUCCACAUGCUUUCAUUCUCAAAGAACUUCAAAUGUAUGGUGAAACAGGAUCGACCUUUGCAUGAGCCACACCAAUUCUCCUCAGCAAGAUUUCCAGAUUGUGCUUGGAAAGAUCAACACCCAUUGAAGAAAGUGCUGGGAAAUCUCAAGCAGAAAGAUAAAUUCACAAGGUAGAAGCUGUAACAGUACUCACGUGCUAGUAGAAUUUCCAUGCUUGCAUUGGACGGACCAUUCAGCCUGUGCCUCCUGACUGAAAGCAGGCAAAGCUAGAACACUGACUCACAAAGAGAUGAAAUGAAUGGAAUAUAUGUGGGUUUUGUAAGACAUUCUUAAUUUUUCAAAGGAAAAGAAGUCAAUCAUAAUAUCUAUAGUUUAAAUUGCUAUUUAUAUUUUUAAGAAGCUUGCUUCAAUCACUGGCCCUUUUUGGGAGUGUUCAUCUGUGUACCUCUUAAAUAAAGUUAGCUGCUGGCAAAACAAUCUGCCCUACCACUUUGUAAGAAAUAUGGAAGUUUGGUAUAUAUUCCACUGCUGUUCACUAUAAUGAUGCCCCCAAGUGAAUGGUAAAAGAUACAGUUGCUGUUGUUAUCCUUUUUAAUACCUCCAACUUAAAUAAAUGUUUUUCAGAACAUUUGGAGGUGGAAGAGAUGGAGAUCACUCUAGUUCUCUCCUUUUUUUUUUUUUUUUUUGCUUUGCCUUAAAAGCACAGAGGAAACAAAGCAGCUCAAUCUGAGGUGGACGAAACAUCUGAGAAAUGGGCACUAGAAAUUCAGGACAGCCCUAACGUUGUUUAUUUUUGUUCAAGUACUUAUGGAAACCACAGAUGUCAAGCAGCAGCAUCCCUCUUUUUCCCUUCAACACAGAAAUGAUGAGUGCUUCUGCAAAAAAAUAAAAAAAAAAAAUAAAUACCAAGGAAAUAUACAUUCUAUAGCAAAAUCUCUGAUUUCACCCAUACACAACUUAGUGCACAUUUAAUUGAUUAACUGGCGAAAACUCGUGUGAUCAAUCAACAUGCUAUUAGGGUCCCUGGACUUUUUGUUCCUGCUGAAAAUAUUCCCACGUCCUGAAGAAACGAGUCUCAAUUAAAAAGAUUUUCAACAAUGUUUCUCGAAGAAGCCUUUGACUAAUGAUUAAUUUCUCUUGGGCUCAUCAGCAGCUCUUUCACAAACCUCUAGCAUGUCAUGAAACACUUUUGGGUAACUUCUGGUACAGUUGCUCUGAAGUACAAACUUCUAGAUGUUCAGAAUUAAGAACAAUCAG